CAGUCGCCGCGGUAAUACGUAGGUGGCAAGCGUUGUCCGGAAUUAUUGGGCGUAAAGGGCUUGCAGGCGGUUUCUUAAGUCUGAUGUGAAAGCCCCCGGCUCAACCGGGGAGGGUCAUUGGAAACUGGGAAACUUGAGUGCAGAAGAGGAGAGUGGAAUUCCACGUGUAGCGGUGAAAUGCGUAGAGAUGUGGAGGAACACCAGUGCGAAGGCGACUCUCUGGUCUGUAACUGACGCUGAGGAGCGAAAGCGUGGGGAGCGAACAGGAUUAGAUACCCCGGUAGUCCCUGUCUCUUAUACA
rnacentral:rRNA from 1 species